AAAAACACAGAACCCAGUACACUUUAUUCUUUUUCAGAGAGCUGAUGGCAGGUGUAAAUCAGCAAAGGAUAAUUUGGAAGUUCCAGUUCGUUUACGUGCCCUUUCGAAAUAAGAAAGGUCGGUUCAACAGCCGUUAUGUGUUCAACAAGUGCAGCUGACGCUGAACUUGGGUGGUACCGCGAAUUUCAGACUGAUUCGUCCCAAGA
rnacentral:ncRNA from 1 species